rnacentral:rRNA from 1 species
CGGUGUUCAACUGGCGUGUCCGCGGGACGUCCUGCCGGUGGGCUUAGCCCGCAAGGGCGGCCCAACUUCAAAUCCCAUCGCGGUGCUCUUCACUGAGUGUCGAGGUGGGCCGGCACGUUUACUUUGAACAAAUUAGAGUGCUUAAAGCAGGCUAAAACUUCGCCUGAAUACUGUGUGCAUGGAAUAAUGGAAUAGGACCUCGGUUCUAUUUUGUUGGUUUUCGGAACCCCGAGGUAAUGAUUAAUAGGAACGGAUGGGGGCAUUCGUAUUGCGACGUUAGAGGUGAAAUUCUUGGAUCGUCGCAAGACGGACAGAAGCGAAAGCAUUUGCCAAAAACGCUUUCAUUGAUCAAGAACGAAAGUUAGAGGUUCGAAGGCGAUCAGAUACCGCCCUAGUUCUAACCAUAAACGAUGCCAGCUAGCGAUCCGUCGACGUUCCUCCGAUGACUCGACGGGCAGCUUCCGGGAAAUCAAAGCUUUUGGGUUCCGGGGGAAGUAUGGUUGCAAAGCUGAAACUUAAAGGAAUUGACGGAAGGGCACCACCAGGAGUGGAGCCUGCGGCUUAAUUUGACUCAACACGGGAAACCUCACCAGGCCCGGACACCGGAAGGAUUGACAGAUUGAGAGCUCUUUCUUGAUUCGGUGGGUGGUGGUGCAUGGCCGUUCUUAGUUGGUGGAGCGAUUUGUCUGGUUAAUUCCGAUAACGAACGAGACUCUAGCCUGCUAACUAGGCGUAUUUUCGACAUCUCAAAGGUCCGUCGUCCCGGCCCUCGGGUCGUGGGCGUGCGCGAUUUUUACUGUCGGCGUACUAUCAAUUCUUCUUAGAGGGACAGGUGGCUUCUAGCCGCACGAGAUUGAGCAAUAACAGGUCUGUGAUG